rnacentral:rRNA from 1 species
UACGGAGGGUGCAAGCGUUAUCCGGAUUCACUGGGCUUAAAGGGUGCGUAGGCGGCUUUGUAAGUCAGUGGUGAAAUGCCGCAGCUCAACUGCGGAACUGCCAUUGAUACUGCUUAGCUUGAAUCACGUCGAGGUGGAUGGAAUAUUACAUGUAGCGGUGAAAUGCUUAGAUAUGUAAUAGAACACCGAUUGCGAAGGCAGUUCACUGGGCGUGUAUUGACACUGAGGCACGAAAGCGUGGGGAUCAAACAGG